UGAUAAUAAUCUAGCCACUCCAAUGUUAAUUUAGUUUGAUUUUGCCUAACUUACUUUUUUCCAUGUCUUUACCUUGAGUCUUUAGGUAUGCCACUUAUAAAUAUAACUAAAAUCCAAUCUGACCAUCUCUAUCUUUCAACUGAAGUGUUUAAUCCAUUUGUAUUUAUUGUGAUUAUUGCAGGAGGACAAGUCCUUGAAUGACCUUGGCUGAUUCAGCUCUCCCUGCUCCUUCUUACAAUUCUUGGGCAGAAUGUACUGAGAAUGUAACAUCCUGGGAUAAGGAAGAACCAUCUAGAACAGCCUGGGCUUUGUCUUUGUUCCUCUCAGAACAAGAUUCCCCUCUGGGAUCAUUUUCUUUCUAUCUGAAGUAUAUUUUUAGAAGUUCUUCAGAAAAGAACUGUUGGUAAGCUCUCAAUUUCUGUAAUCUGAAACAUUCUUAUUUUGCACUCAAUCUUGAAAGUCAGUUUUGCUUGAUUUAAAAUUCUAAGUUGGCAAUCACUUCCCCCUGAACUUUUAAGAUAUUAGACUACUAUUUUCUAAUCUCCAUUGAUAUUGUUAAGAAGUCUGUUGUAAUUCCACAAUUGUAGGUCAUUUAUAAUUUUUCUCGACUGCUUUUAAGAGCUGCUUAGUGUGGCUAACUGUAGCUUUACUUUUAAAUUUGCUUUCCUGCCUGAUGGUAUACAUUGCACUUUCAGCAUUUUUGGAUACCAGUAAUUCACUAGUUUUAGAAAAUUCUUGGUCUUUAUCUCUUUAAAAUUUGCCUCUUCACCAUUCUUUCCUUUUGGAACUCCAGCUAUUUGUAUGUUAUAGUUGUUCAUUUUAACCUUUAUCUCUGUUAAUGACUUUUUUAUAUUUUCUAUCCAUUUGUCUCUCUUUUGCAUUCUGGGUAAUUUUUUUAGCUUUUAAAAUUCACGAUUUUCUCCAAUCUGCUGUUAAACUCACCAAAUUAAGUUUGUUUCUGACAAUUUUUUAUUUCUGAAAAUUCCAUUUUUCAUCAUGCCUGUGCCUUUAUAGUAUAUUAUUGCUUAUUUAUUUUUUGCAACUCUAUUUUUUAAUUCUUUAGAUACUUAAUAUAUCAUUAUCGUAUGUUUGACGAUUCUGUUCUUCGAAGUCCUUCAGGUUUUGUUUCUACUGAGUCUCACCUAUGGUUUAUUAAUUGUAAAUAUUAAGCUUCUUAUUUGGUUGAUCUGAACUGAGGUUGCUUUUCUUCAGAAAGGACUUGCAUUUGCUUCUGCCAGGAGCCAAGGAGAGCUUUUUUUUGUUUGUUUGUUUUUGAUUUUUGUGUGUGUUCCCAUUUAUUUUCUGUCCUGAUGAUUUCCCUUACUUCCUGCAAAUUCAGUAUUGCCUUAAAAAGUAUGUCUUUUGUUUAGGAACUAAUUGUGUUUUAAGCAGGAAGACCCUUCAGGAAGUUAAAAGCCCACAUGAAUUCUUUAGUUGCAGAAGUUUUAAAUGUUGGCUAAAAUUAGAUUUUUAAGAAUAGACUCUUCAUAUAUGAGAAUUAUAGAUAUAAGUUAGGUUUCUGGUCCAAUAAAUGCAAUCAACCCUCAAUAAGCAAGAGUGUUGAUUAUUCACUUUAUGGGAGGAUUGGCAAUGGAAGUUUUUGGUUGCCUAGUGCAUCAAAGUUCCAUUUGUGACUGUUCAUUUCUGAAUAGAGAAAACAAAAAUGAAGCCAAGGCAUUUCUGAGUGACUAUUAGAGAUGACACUGAACUAAGACAAACUACCUAGAAUUAUUAAAGAAACUGGUGAGGGAAAAUGGAAUUUAACUAAACAAAAAUCUACUUUGCACACUUCCCAGGAAACACAAUUUGGUAUAUUUCACUCUGGAUAAAAAAUGGUUAUAAUCAAAUUUUGUUUUUGUUUUUUAAACCCUAUCAGUUUUUCUGGUCUGCUCCCUUUACAUUUUCUCCAACAAUUAUUUUCAGCCAUUUUGUCCCUCUUCAGCCCUCAGAGCCAAACCUUCCUCCUCCCCUGUUCUCAGCAGAAGGGAUUGACUGUUUUUUUAAAAAGAACAGACAACAUCAGAAGGGAACUGUCACAUGCUGUGUCAUCACAACUAGCCCCUCCCCUCAAUACUCAGCCACUUCUUUUCCCCUUCUCUCCUAGUUGUAAAGGACAAUCUCCUCCUCUAAAGCCACCUGUACUCUGCACUCCAUCUCUUCCCAUGUCCUCCAGGACUUUGUGAUUCUCUAUCAUUCUCUCUCUCAUCUUCCAUCAUUCCUUUUCACCUUGUUUAUUCCCCAGAAGCAUUUAAAACAUGUUUAGGUCAGAACCAUGGAAAAAAAUAACCAGCCCUCCUUCAACCCCCACAUACCCCUCCCAUUACCCAUCCUUUCUCUUUCCCUUGCUUUACAGCCAAAUCUCAGAAGAGUUGUCCAGUAUUACUGUCUCCAUUUCCUUCUUAUUCAUACUCAAUCUGGAUUUUACCCUCAACAUCCUACUGAAAUUCUCACCAUUAGGUUUCCAUGUUUCCAAAUCUAGUUGACAUUUAUUGGUCUUCACCCUAUGUGAUUUCUUCAUAGCAUUCAACACAAUUUCAAACACUCACAGUGGACACAGUACACACACACACACACACACACACACACACACGCACUUUUAUCUUAAAAUGUCAGCUACAAAUGAGCCAACAAUGUUUAGUUGAAUAUACUGUAUUUAAAAACCAAUUUAUUUAUUGUAAGGCUAUUAAUAUAAUAAUUAUUCAUUAUUAAUGUUAUAUAUGUAUUAGUGUAAAUUAUUUCUACUUUAUGUUUCAAUUUAGACCUUACACUGAUUUUAAAAAUUAUAUGCAUAGGUAGGUUAUAUUAUUUCUGAAUUUCAUUUCAGAAAUUAGUAAAGAGAUUUUCAGAAGACUUGUUAGAAGAAGUCAGUGAUUGUGGAUGGGACUGAGAAUUUCUGCUUUAGUGGAGCCAACUCUCUCUUGGUUGAGACCAGGGAAGUGGCCCAGCACAAGAGAGCUUCUGCACUCCAAGAGCUAGCUUCAUUGCUUUUGGAAAAGAUUCAACGUGUCAAACAGCUAAAUGAUAACUUUCUCUCCUGAACUGAUAUGCGUGAUUUUGGUGGUUCCUUAGUUCUUACAUGGGCUACCUUGGUAGGGGGUAUUUUUCAUCUAUUUGAUUACUUCUUUGUAAAGUUAACUCUCUCAGCUUUAUGCAUGGGAGGACACAGAGGAGAAAAGUAAACCUCCAAGGACAAGAUGCUUUUCACCUUGAAAAUUGUUUGUCAUGAAUGUAUUUACUGGCCAUGGUUCUUUCUUUGGAAAAUCCUUAUAAUGAACUCAAAAUGGCAGGGCUGUAUUUUGGUUAUUGUUCCCAAGAAAUGGUUUUUAGCCACUAGACCACUUUCUGCACUGGGUUUCUUGCCCCCUUGCCCUGUACCAUAAGGCAGUCUGGUUGCUUCAGCAGGAAGGCUCGGCUGCAUGGUAGUUGGGUGGUCUCUGAAGAGAGCUCCUUUUGUUUUCCUGAUGGACCCAGGGCCAAUGUGCCGCAGCCCUCGUGAAGCACAAAGUGCAAGGCUGUGGCUCCAAGAUGGAGUGUUUCUCCCUCUGCCUUUAAGAGAACACGGGGGUCAUAGAUAGCAUUGUACAGACGUGUACCUUGCCAGGGCUGCCAGGGGAAUGCAGGCUCAUGGGGAGGAUUGAGGGGACAGAGAUGUGUGUGUACAGAUUAGUGUGCCAUAGACUAAGCACAGCAGAGGCAAAGAAUGCCAUCUAAGCUCUUGUCGCUCGGAGUGUCCGAGGAUCAUCACCAUACAGGUCACCCAGGAGCUUAUUAGAAAUGCACAGUCUCAUGCCUCACCCCAGACCACAAAUCAGAACCCGCAUUCGAACCACAUUCCUAGGUGACUCCCAGGCACAUUAUAAUUCAAGAAGCUCUGCUGCUUUUACCUGCACCGAGGCCUCAGCCUUCAGACCACUCCAGGAAGCCACCUUUUCACAUCCCCACACCCCCACCCGACACUCUGUCACCUGGAUCUUGCCCAUUUCCUCCCUGGCAUGUCCCUUAGUCCCUUAGGUCUGCACAUCUGCCCUUCCUCAUUGGCCAGCUCUAGCACAGAUCACUGUGUUCACCUUGGCAGUCCCAAGUCCUUGCACACUGCCUGCCUGAGAGCAGGCUCCAAGCUGAAGGCUUCUCGAGUCAGUGGACGAAUGGAUACGUGAUCUACAUGGCAGAAAUAAAAGCCUGAAGUUUGCAGAAGGUUAGGUGUUUAUUUGCA